UUAAAGAUGAUUUAAAUGUUUCAUUUUUUACAAAUAUUUGGAAGACAGCUCCUAGAUUUUUGUCAUUUCAAACUCUACCAAAGCAGGCUUUACAAUGUAAAAGACUCUUGGCCAUGUAAAUGUAUUUCCAUUUUAUAAUUCUUUAUCAGAAGGUGCUAAGGAAAAAACAAAUAAAGUAAGUGGGCUAUACUAUAUACGGGAAUUUUUUUUUUCCUAAAUGUACUCAAAGGUUUCCCCAUGUUUUCAAAUUCUAUCUACUAAGAAAGAAAAGUUUAAAUUGUUGCCAAUUCUUACUACGAAUGAAACUAGUGGAAAUAAUGGUUUACUUUCUUACAUUCAAAAAAACAAAGGAGAAGGGGAAAAGGAAAAAGAAAUAGUGUAAAGGAAGACAGGGAGGGAAAGGUACAGAUUCCAGUGCUCUCUUCAAAAGGCCACUAUAAAUACAAUGUGCAAUGAAAUGAUUUGUUCAUCUGGCUUCAACAUUUGCAACAACUGUCAAAGUUCAUUUCUGACAUAAUUUUUUUACAUUCUAAAGAAUUUUUUUUCCAUAAAAACAUUCAAUCCACAAAUUAGUAACUAUAUAGCUCCAAUUCAUUUGCCCAGAUUAUGAUUUAGGGAUUUAAAUAAUUUUUAAGUUGGAAGGGAAAAGGGGAGAGAGAUAAUUCCUUUUUCAUUGUUUAUCCAAUUUAUUUCUAAACCACAUGAUCUUUGAAAAAUGAUUGCUACAAAGUAUACAUGACAAACAUUCUAUUAGCAUUUACUCCCAUUCUCCAAGAAUGAAGUUUCACAUAUAUUUAGCAAAUUCUCACAUUUCAGAAUCAUUCCAAAUGAAAACUAGUUUUUGCUCCCAAAUUCUGUAACCUAGACUAAAACAUACUGCAACUUUUUUUUAAAAAAUUGGUCUUCAUCUUUUGGAUAGAUUUACUUUAAUGUUCUAACUAUAUAUUAUUUUCAAGGAUAACACAUUUUACAGUUCAAAUAUUGACAUUAUUGAUGCAAUCAUACUGUAGAACAAAAAAGUGUCUAAAAGAUUUCCCUCUUCUGGUCUUUUGUACAUAACGGUUAUAACUGAGUUCAAGAUAAUUUUUCCCACCACACACACACAUUAUAAAGAUUUUGAUUUCCACAAUUUCAUAGAAUGUAGAAGAAAUUACACCUAAUAUACAUAAAAUCAAAUUAUAUUGCUUUUUAAAAAACAUUAGAAAAGGUAGUUGUUUCCAUUUAUUUUUUUUUUUUUUGCAUGAUUCAGAGAUUUAAAAAUGCAAGAAAAUCUAACUCGCAUGAUAGUUACUGUAGUUGGUGACUGGGAGGAAAAAAAAAUCAAACUGUGAAUAUUCAUUAUGCAAAUAAAAAUAUCAAAUGUUGGUGCAGUUAUCAAAAUGAAAGCAGUCAAUAUUUUAGUUCUAAAAUUACAUACUUGUUUGUACAAAGCACAUAAAAAAAUUCUUGCUAACCCAACUGCUAAUUGUAAGGUCUUCAGAAAAUUUAUCAUUU
rnacentral:lncRNA from 1 species